ensembl:lncRNA
GACCAGGCUGACCUCAAACUCACAAAGAUCUGCCUGCUUCUGUCUCCAGAGUGCUGGGACUAAAGGUGUGGGCCACCACUGCCUAGAGGAAUAAACCAAGUUUAAUUUUUUUGUUGUUGUUGUUUCUGUUUUUGUCUUUAAGUUUUCCAGGGACUUCCAGGUGUCCCGCUGAUAACCCCCCAUCUGAGCAGACAUCUUUCCAGCUCUGUUCUCCCAUACUCAGAUGUGUGCACCAGUGUCCACAUAACACAAGUGCCACCCUGCUCUGCCAACAGACAGCUAAGGGUGAUUCUGCUGUCUCUUGCCACGCUGACUAGUUUGUCCCAUGACAGGAAGGCCCUGAAGACAGAAUUGUCACAGGUGUGAGGUAAGAAGACCUGAUGACACAGCCUCAGCCUGGAUCACAGCUGAUCAGGAAGUAUGCUGAGAAGAGCAGCUGGUGUGCGGUGCUUGCCAGUCCUCUACAAGUUCAGGAUCUUCCAACAGAAGCUGCGACCUAGUGACCUUUGUCCCACGAGUGAUGCUUAAUGUUCGGAUGGCUUUUGUUAAGCAGAGUUUUCCAAUGUUUGUAUACCUAGUUGGUCCUCACGGCUUUUCAUCUCACCCCAUCAGAAGAUCUCUUUCAUGUGACAGUCCUGUCUCCUGGGCUGUGAUAUGACUUGGACCAAGACUGCUGUGGUGCUCAGACUAGAAUCUUUUCUGAUAUCUGAGCAUAUGACUAGAGAUGUUUUUGAAGCCACAAUGGUAUCUCUGUGUCUGCAUGACAUAGAAUGACGGCCUUACAUUUAUUUGUACUAUGUGUCCACUGUGGUGAGGCACCUCUGUAGUCUGUGUCCAGCCGUUUCAUGUGAUUGUCACAUGGACAUGAACAAGUGGCCAUGGCCUGCUUGACAUAGCCUAAUUUGCCAUAUUUUAUGGCCAGGGCAUGCUGGCGAUAGCCAUACAGUUGUGUUAUAUCUAGGACUUUCCUGGGAUUUGCAGGGGAGGGGAAUUAGUUUUCCUGAUUUGGCCCAUUUUAUAUAAAGUUGAACUUUUUGUUCUGUUGUGGGUCAGACAGGCAAUCACAGCAGUUUGCUGAAUACAAGUUAGACUAUCUUUUCAGUUCCAUUUUUUUUUUAGGAUUUUAUUUAUUUAUUUAUUAUGUAUACAGCCUUCUGCCUGCAUGCCAGCAGAAGGCACCAGAUCUCAUUCAAGGUGGUUGUGAGCCACCAUGUGGUUGCUGGGAAUUGAACUCAGGACCUCUGGAAGAACACCUAUGUGCUCUUAACCUCUGAGCCAUCUCUCUAGCCCCUAAAAUUAAGUUUUAAACCCACUUUUUAAAGGCUUAUAUUCAUGUGUGUGGGAGGUGGGAGGGACAUGCGUGCCCCCUAUGUUCAUGGGUAUGCAGAUCCCUUGAUGGCCAGAAGAGGGUGUCAGAGGCCCUGAAGCUGGAGUUACUGGUAGUUUUAAGCUACCACACCACCUCCACUGCCACCCCCCAUGCACCAUGCUGCUGCCGCCACUGCCACCGCUGCACGCGCGCACACACACGCACGCACGCACGCGCGCGCUGGGAACCAACUCCAGUCCUCUGGAAGAGCAGCAAGCACUCUUAACUGCAGAGCCAUUUCUCACACACCUUCAGUUACACUUUUUUUUGUUUAUUUGCUUUUUGUUGUUUUUCAAGACAUUGUUUCACUGUCUAACAGCCUUGGUUGUCCUGGAACUAGCU